rnacentral:lncRNA from 1 species
CAAAAACUUGGAGUGAUCUUAUGUGCUCCGGAAGGGUAAGCAAUUCAUACUCCACAUGUGGCACCCUCAUGUAAGUAAAAACUCGGUAACAAAUCUAAAUUCGUAGGUCACAUUCGGGACAAAGGGGUCGGGACUGUAGAAACGACAAAAAAGACUUAGUGUAAAACCAUUCAAAUGGAAAACCAACGAUCUAAUCUAUAUAAAAAAAAUGAGAAACGAGAAACACGUAUGACCCAUAUCAACAAACGACAACCACUGAACGUCUGGUUCCUGACUUAGGACAGGUGGAAACAAUUGCAGCGAGUUUAAACGUUGUAAUAGGUACCAACAUUCAUCCUUAUCUGAAACAAAAGUGUAUCAUCCCAACAUAGAAAGACACACUAUAACCAUAGAACAACAUAGAAAGACACACUAUAACCAUAGUACAACAAAGAAAGACACACUAUAACCAUAGUACAAGAUAGAAAGACACACUAUAACCAUAGUACAACAUAGAAAGACACACUAUAACCAUAGUACAACAUAGAAAGACACACUAUAACCAUAGUACAACAAAGAAAGACACAC